AAGUCGUAACAAGGUUUCCGUAGGUGAACCUGCGGAAGGAUCAUUAUCACGUAUCCACGUAUAAACCAAUCGCGAACUGUCCUUCACCUCUUGGAUAAGCGAGUCAGUUUUUGUGUAUCAAACGCUAUGCAGUCUUUCUGAGUGAUUAAGACUGUGUUCGGUACGCCACAAUCGGGUUAUCUCCGGAUUCCCCGAUUGUACUUGCUUACUCUGGAGUGUAUUUUUAAUCACUUAUUCUAUUAACCAUUAUAACCUUUUCUUUUAUAACCUUUGAACUAACUUUAUUUCUUACUCUCCGGAGAAGAAAUUCAUUACGAAACAAAGAACAACUCUUAGCAACGGAUAUCUUGGUUCUCGUAACGAUGAAAAACGCAGC
rnacentral:misc_RNA from 1 species